rnacentral:rRNA from 1 species
GUGAGUAACACGUAAGCAACCUUCCUUUAAAUCUGGGAUAACCUUUCUAACGAGGGGCUAAUACCGGAUGUGGUUAUGAAUACAUAAGUAUUUUUAAUUAAAGGUGACCUCUAUUUAUAAGUUACUGUUUAGAGAUGGGCUUGCGGAUCAUUAGUUAGUUGGUGAGGUAACGGCCCACCAAGACUGAGAUGAUUAGCCGACCUGAGAGGGUGAUCGGCCACAUUGGGACUGAGAUACGGCUCAGACUCC